rnacentral:rRNA from 1 species
UACGUAGGGUCCGAGCGUUAAUCGGAAUUACUGGGCGUAAAGCGUGCGCAGGCGGUUUUGUAAGCCAGAUGUGAAAUUCCCGGGCUUAACCUGGGAACUGCAUUUGGGACUGCAAGGCUCGAGUACGGCAGAGGGAGGUGGAAUUCCACGUGUAGCAGUGAAAUGCGUAGAGAUGUGGAGGAACACCGAUGGCGAAGGCAGCCUCCUGGGCCAGUACUGACGCUCAUGCACGAAAGCGUGGGGAGCAAACAGG